AAGGAUCAUUAAUGAAUUCACUAUGGAGUUGUUGCUGGCCUCUAGGGGCAUGUGCACGCUUCACUAGUCUUUCAACCACCUGUGAACUUUUGAUAGAUCUGUGAAGUCGUCUUUCAAGUCGUCAGACUUGGUUUGCUGGGAUUUAAACGUCUCGGUGUGACAACGCAGUCUAUUUACUUAACACACCCCAAAUGUAUGUCUACGAAUGUCAUUUAAUGGGCCUUGUGCCUAUAAACCAUAAUACAACUUUCAACAACGGAUCUCUUGGCUCUCGCAUCGAUGAAGAACGCAGCGAAAUGCGAUAAGUAAUGUGAAUUGCAGAAUUCAGUGAAUCAUCGAAUCUUUGAACGCACCUUGCGCCCCUUGGUAUUCCGAGGGGCGUGCCUGUUUGAGUGUCAUUAAAUUCUCAAACUCACUUUGGUUUUUUCCAAUUGUGAUGUUUGGAUUGUUGGGGGCUGCUGGCCUUGACAGGUCGGCUCCUCUUAAAUGCAUUAGCAGGACUUCUCAUUGCCUCUGCGCAUGAUGUGAUAAUUAUCACUCAUCAAUAGCACGCAUGAAUAGAGUCCAGCUCUCUAAUCGUCCGCAAGGACAAUUUGACAAUUUGACCUCAAAUCAGGUAGGACUACCCGCUGAACUUAA
rnacentral:rRNA from 1 species